UACAGAGGGUGCAAGCGUUAAUCGGAUUUACUGGGCGUAAAGCGCGCGUAGGUGGCCAAUUAAGUCAAAUGUGAAAUCCCCGAGCUUAACUUGGGAAUUGCAUUCGAUACUGGUUGGCUAGAGUAUGGGAGAGGAUGGUAGAAUUCCAGGUGUAGCGGUGAAAUGCGUAGAGAUCUGGAGGAAUACCGAUGGCGAAGGCGACCACCUGGGCUAAUACUGACACUGAGGUGCGAAAGCGUGGGGAGCAAACAGG
rnacentral:rRNA from 1 species